rnacentral:lncRNA from 1 species
UAGCCAGAACUAGGACCGGCCCAACCCAACCUUUAGACUCGCCAUCCAAGCCCAAGCCUGAUAGCUUCGAGCGUCAUGCUGGGCCUUGGACUGAAGGACCAAGUAGGUGGGGAGGGCCUCGGGCUUUCGGAAUUUAAACUCAAAGAAACAAAAUAAGAAAUGGAAGGAGCUUCUGGAUCUCAGGGAGAAAAGGGCGAAAGGCG